GCUCUGCAUCACCAAGAACAAACGAAAUUUGCAGACAUUUUCAUAUUAGCUCAAGAUCUUAAAGAAAAUAAACAUUUGUUGUGUUGUUCUAGUUAAGCUAUAAGACUAGUUCUUGCAGGCUUGCUGAAAAUAACUUGGGAAAUGACAUUAUAGGAGCGCAGGGCAAGUGCUCGACGAAAUGCCAAAGAGGGGAUGGUGUAUGGGAAUUGUACGGAUGUUGGCUUAAGUUUCAAGGGAAUCCAUGGCAGCCUCAGAUGCUUGACACAGGCAUUUGGAUGGGGAUAACUAUGCUCAUCUUCUCAGGGUUCAGCUAAAAGGCAAUGGCAGAACGGGUUCGGUUCGGGCACUCGACAGCAGAUAUGGACCAACCGGGCGAAAACUGAAGAAGGGCAGGCUUCCUCCUAAAAGAGGGAGUGUCAAACUAAAAAUAAUAUCCAAGUUCUUUGAGAUGGUGGUCGGAUUUGUGUCGAAAGUAGGAGGAAGGCAGAACAAAAAGAGGAUGGAUCAGGCGACAACAGAAGAACCAUAGUCUCAACAACCAUUCGACCCGAGUUCAAUGUAGCCAAUGAAGAUGAUUAUGAUGUGUGUAUGCUGCUAGUUUAAGUCUACUACAUAUAGUUGUGUGUAUAGAACAAUUCAGUCUAUAAGUCAUUCCUGUGUACUGUCUAUAUGUCCAUUUGAACCUGAAGACGGUGUUAGAAAAAUGCACUAUAUUUCUACAUUGUUUACAGGCCAUGGUUUAACUUACAUUUUGCCUCUAUCCAUCCUUGGUUUCUACUUUUUA